rnacentral:rRNA from 1 species
GACGAACGCUGGCGGCGUGCUUAACACAUGCAAGUCGAACGGAAAGGCCCUGCUUUUGUGGGGUGCUCGAGUGGCGAACGGGUGAGUAACACGUGAGUAACCUGCCCUUGACUUUGGGAUAACUUCAGGAAACUGGGGCUAAUACAGGAUAGGAGCUCCUGCUGCAUGGUGGGGGUUGGAAAGUUUCGGCGGUUGGGGAUGGACUUGCGGCUUAGCAGCUGGAUGGUGGGGUUGUGGCUUACCAAGGCUUUGACGGUUAGCCGGCCUGGGAGGGUGACCGGCUCCAGUGUGCUAGGGGAGGGACCAGGAGGCAAUCGGGCGCAAUGGGCGGAAAAUUUAGCGAGAAGGGCGGAGGCAGGGAUCAGGAUCGCCGGAUCGGGAAUGACGCCUUCGGGUGGUAAACCGAUUUCGCCUGUGACGAGGCGUGAGUGACGGUAAUGGGUAAAGAAGCACCGGCUAACUACGUG